rnacentral:rRNA from 1 species
AACGAACGCUGGCGGCGUGCCUAACACAUGCAAGUCGAACGAAAACGUCCUGCCUUUUUGCGCUCGUCUGCUUACCACCUGGGAAGCUGCACUUGAGUUCGGUGUCACUCCCUGUAAGGGAACCUCAUACAAGUUAAUGUCAUCCGGCAAAAGAUUUAUUGCCUUAGGGUGGGCCCGCGUUAGUUUCGGCAGUUGGUAGGGUACAAGCCUACCAAGGCGAUGAUCCAUAGCUGGUCUGAUAGGAUGAUCCGGCACACUGGGACUGAGACACGGCCCAGACUCCUACGGGAGGCAGCAGUGGGGAAUAUUGGACAAUGGGCGAAAGCCUGAUCCAGCAAUGCCGCGUGAGUGAUGAAGGCCUUAGGGUUGUAAAGCUCUUUUACACGGGAUGAUAAUGACAGUACCGGGAGAAUAAGCUCCGGCUAACUCCGUG